rnacentral:rRNA from 1 species
AUCGAACGCUGGCGGCAUGCUUUACACAUGCAAGUCGAACGGUAACAGGCCGCAAGGUGCUGACGAGUGGCGCACGGGUGAGUAAUGCAUCGGAACGUGCCCAGUCGUGGGGGAUAACUACUCGAAAGAGUAGCUAAUACCGCAUACGAUCUAUGGAUGAAAGCGGGGGACCGUAAGGCCUCGCGCGAUUGGAGCGGCCGAUGUCAGAUUAGGUAGUUGGUGGGGUAAAGGCUCACCAAGCCAACGAUCUGUAGCUGGUCUGAGAGGACGACCAGCCACACUGGGACUGAGACACGGCCCAGACUCCUACGGGAGGCAGCAGUGGGGAAUUUUGGACAAUGGGCGCAAGCCUGAUCCAGCAAUGCCGCGUGCAGGAAGAAGGCCUUCGGGUUGUAAACUGCUUUUGUACGGAACGAAACGGCUCUGGUUAAUACCCGGGGCUAAUGACGGUACCGUAAGAAUAAGCACCGGCUAACUACGUG